UUAUUAGAUUGAAUUAAUAGUAUCACCUGCACAGUGAGUAAAAUUAAAUUGCUGCAGUAUUCUUGACUGUACAAAGGUAGCAUAAUCAUUAGCUUUUUAAUUGGAGGCUGGAAUGAAAGGUAAGAAACUAAGGGGAAGGUUUUUUUGAAUAAUUUUGAAUUUAAUUUAAAAGUAAAAAAGCUUUUAUAAACCCUUGGGACGAGAAGACCCUAGAAGUUUAUAAAUUAUAAUUUUUUAAUUGGGGCAAUUAUUGAAGAUAGAGAUUUUUAUAUAAGUAAUGUGAAGAAUAAAAAUUACUCUAGGGAUAACAGCGUUAUUUAGUUUAUGAGUUCUUAUUAACAACUAAGUUUGCGACCUCGAUGUUGAAUUAAAUUAAACUUGUGGUGAAGGGGCUAUAAAGAGUUUAGUCUGUUCGACUAUUAAAAAUUUACA
rnacentral:rRNA from 1 species